ensembl:lncRNA OSTM1-AS1 OSTM1 antisense RNA 1
UCCCUUGUUGCACGUAGAAGGCUGCAGUUGGAGACGGGACAACUAGGUUCUGGGAAGCCAUGGCAGAAAUCACGCAGACUCUGAUUCCCGCCGAGAACCAGCCUAAAGAACCACUCAUGGCAAGACGGGGGCCCACCGGCCUGCUGGCUCCUCACCAAACUCUACUCCGCAUUGACUGUGGGCUCUUGUUCUAGAGGCACCCGCAUCCUCAGGAUGAAAUCCUCUGAUUCAACAGAAAUCUGGAAGUGUUCACAGCUUGGCCCGGAGAAGAUCGUUUUAAAUCUACAGCUUUAAAAUGUGGUUGAAAAGGAGCCCAGGUUGGAUUCUGCCAGCAGGUCCGCUGGCCGCUGUUACCUCCCCACUGUCAACGCCUAGGUCUCUGCCUCCAGCCCUGUUUCAGCCUGUCCUUGAGGAUUUGCUUCACCUCAUUUACUGAGCUUGCCACAGAUUCAUUACCUGGCAUCAGAGCUCCCCUCUCACUGAGCCUGCCCAGAGGGGUGCCAGUAUACUAGCCAGAUGCCGCUGGAGGGACUCCACAAUAAAGCCUGGCUAUUAAAGACUUCAACAGUCUCAUAAAGUCACUUUGCCAGCUGUAGAGCACACAAGUGCCCACAGAUCCAAGCCUCCUUCCUUCCCCAAAGAAACACCUUGGAUAAAGUCUUGGAAUAUCAUCCAUUAGCACAUGGCUCCAGCCAACACAUGAAUUCCCUUACACCA